rnacentral:rRNA from 1 species
AUUGAACGCUGGCGGCAGGCCUAACACAUGCAAGUCGAACGGUAACAGGAAGAAGCUUGCUUCUUUGCUGACGAGUGGCGGACGGGUGAGUAAUGUCUGGGAAACUGCCUGAUGGAGGGGGAUAACUACUGGAAACGGUAGCUAAUACCGCAUAACGUCGCAGGACCAAAGAGGGGGACCUUCCGGCCUCUUGCCAUCGGAUGUGCCCAGAUGGGAUUAGCUAGUAGGUGGGGUAACGGCUCACCUAGGCGACGAUCCCUAGCUGGUCUGAGAGGAUGACCAGCCACACUGGAACUGAGACACGGUCCAGACUCCUACGGGAGGCAGCAGUGGGGAAUAUUGCACAAUGGGCGCAAGCCUGAUGCAGCCAUGCGGCGUGUAUGAAGAAGGCCUUCGGGUUGUAAAGUACUUUCAGCGGGGAGGAAGGGAGUAAAGUUAAUACCUUUGCUCAUUGACGUUACCCGCAGAAGAAGCACCGGCUAACUCCGUG